GUCAGAUCAACAACAACGUGGGAUCGGGCUCAAACAUGGGUCAGCAGCACCCGUACCCCGCCCUGAGCCAGCUCGCUCACGCCUACGAACAGCAGCAUCAACAGCAGCAGCAGCAUCAUCAACAACAGCAGCAGCAGCAGCAGCAGCAGCAGCAGCAGCAGCAGCUUCAAAAUAAAGAUUUCAACAAAUACGCCUCCCUGAAGGCUGUGGCUGCCAAAUACAACGGAGAACUCUACACCAAGCGUCGACUGAUGGUGGAGCUGCCAUCAAAGGGUGGCCUUCCUCUCCAGCCAAUGGGCAACUCCAGACCCUCUAUGGGCAACAUGUCGUCGAUGACUCCUCCAAUGACCAACAAUCCCAUGGCUUCAAAUCCUAUGACCUCCAAUCCCAUGAACCCUACCAUCACUCAGAUGACUUCAAUGAACCCAAUGACGUCUAUGACACCCAUGACAUCUAUGACACCCAUGACAUCUAUGACACCCAUGACGUCAAUGACACACAUGACCUCAAUGACACACAUGACAUCCCUCACUCCGAUGUCCUCCAUGACCCCUAUGACUUCUCUGGGUCCACUGACUCCAGAGCCCGUUGCCACCUACGUUACAGAGAUGCCCAAUAUUUCCUCUAUGUCAACCCUGCAGAAAGAGCGGCACAUAGCAGGGGGAGGACUAGGUGGGGGACUUAAGUCAAAUGGCCAGAAACUCAAAGGCAGCCAUGGCCACGCUGCCCACAGCUCUCACAGUUCCCACACUCAUGCUCACAGCCAUAGUAGCAAGCCGCCAGGACUAGGGGCUACCUCCCUGGCACACAUGGUGGGGACCAUGCCAGGUGGCAUGUCCCUAGGCAUCUCCAGGCCCGCUGAGACCACCAUUGGCUCCAGCUCAGCUACAAUGGGCCGCCCAUUGGCAUACAGUUCCAACACAAUUGCAACUGGGCAUGGGAUGGGGCUUGGGCUGAAGGGCUGGGACGGUACUGAGACAGUGGGCCGCAGAAAGACCUACGGGCACAAGAGGCCUCAGUGUACCGUGCUGGAGCCGAACCAGCUCCAUGGCACCAGAGGCCAAAGCCACAGCCAACACUUCCUCCCCACGCAGCCCUACUUUGUGACCAACAGCAAGACAGAGGUGACUGUGUGAGUGAGGAGGAAAGGGAGAAAAAGAAAUAUAAAUGGAUGCCUACGGAGUGGUGGUACAAGUAAUCUCUAAGUUGAGACACCAAUUCCUGGGGUGGUCAAAAGGUUCAAAUCUGUGUGUGUAUGUUUGUGUCAAGGAGUUGAGGCUUGUUGGUGCGCUGGUGAAGGAAGUGGGAAAGUGACACUGUGUCCAAGUGUUCCUCAUUUCACAAACGGAGAGUUCACCAAUCAAAUCACUGAACAGACCUUUGUUGUCAAGAGGAUGGCAUAAAAGUUGGUGAUGUCUGUAACCAUAACAAAUUGCCUACAGAGCUGGGAUGUAUGUACACUUGUGGUGAUAUUCGAGUGUUGUCUCACGGAUAAUAUCUACCCUGUAAUGAUACAAUAUCUGAGCAUUACAGUGCGACUACACACAGACAAUGAAGUGGGAACCUGCUAAUAAAAUGGAUUGGUUUUCCAGUACGAACCCAACCUGAGAAGCAAUAUAAGGAUCAAAUGUACAGCACUAAAGCAUCUUGCGAAGACAUGCAGAGCAGAAAUAUUUGAGGGAAACAAAAUCGGGGCUUUUAUGAAGCUUUUCUGCGAUAGUAGAGUACAGUCAUGAUGAGCCAGUGAAGAAUAAUAAUAAUUCAGCCACAUCUUGAAAGGCAUGAUUGGUUUUUCCCAUUGUUCUAGCAGGAAAUAUAACUGAUUGAUUCUGUGUGCCAAAAAAUGUAAUCCAGUUUGCAGUUCUGUACCACCGUGUGUCCUCUAGAACACUGCGCACAUUUCACUCAUUAUACAUUUUGUAUGUCUGUAUGUGUGUGAGCGCAGAUAUUAAUUUGGUAAAGGAUCAUUGUCUCUGAGGAAGUCAAAAAUCAAACCAACAAGAAAACUUUUAUCUAUAGAGAUUAAAAUCCUACAAACCUGCCAUUCUUUCAAUGAUAAUUCUCUGCAAGUGUUGUGGUUUUUUUCCUCUGUGUAUUUAUUUCCUUAUUUUCUUGACAGCUGGUAGUUUUGUUUGCGACAGAGCUGGGAAGCAGGUCAAUGUUUGCUCAGGAUGUGCAUUAUUGGACCCAAUUGACUUAAUCCAUCAAGGUGGAAAUGUGGAAAUAUGAACCCUUCUAGCUGCCCCACACUGCCCCAUCCUUAAAGCUCAUUCAGCUGUGCCAAGGCAGAUGCUGGAACACUAUGUAAGCAGCCAGGCCAGGGGAAACAGUUGGUAAGCAAAAAACAGAAAAAAAGGGGAAAACUAAUCCAACACCGUAAAAGCCAAAAUAAACCAGACAGAAAGCGGGGAAUUGGUUGCGCCGGUUGGGUCACGGUUGAUAGGGUCAGAGGCACAGAUGCGUGGGUUCAGGAGGCAGUCAUGUCUGACAUUUUUCAUCAGACGAUUCAGCCAGACAAAAAAAAUACCGCAGCGGAGACAAAAGGACACAGGUUGUCUGCAGGCUCGACACCACUAGUGACAGAACAUGUAGAAGAUAUUCAAAGACAAUUUGUGUUCAUCGUUUACUACAAAGAUACAGAUUUUCUGAAUUUUUAAAUAAUUUUACGUAAUUGAUGACGAAAUGUAGUAUGAAGUUAUUGGCUCCACAGACUAAGAAAAAGAGGGUCAGUUUUUCCUUUGUGCAAACAACUGUAAGUACAGUUUUAAGCCUUUCAUUGGCUUGUUUACCUUACUUUAGAACAACCAACCAGCUUUAUUUCUGUUUUUGUGGUGGAGUUUGACCUUUACAGUUUUUCUGGUAUUUUCAGUGGGAUAACAGCACAAGGUAUCAUGGACAGGGGUAUAAAACAAAUCAUUGUUCAAUGGUAUCAGCUCCAAAAAUAAAGGUAUAACACUGCAAACGUGAAUAGUGGCUUGAUCACUCCUGAAUCUUAGGCUGCAAACUUUUUUCAGGCAUUCCAUGCAAAUGUCUCACUAUAUAAAAUAUGUUAUAUAUCAAAUAAAUUGGCAGAGACACAUGGAUAGUUUCAGCUGGGCCACUUUCUGGUGUGACCAGGCCUUUAGUAAGUCCACCUUCACUAGUCAUUUAGAAAGAGACUAGUGACCACCUUCAGCUCUUACUACCAACCUCGAAAACUGCAAAAUGAGGUCCAAAUUUAGGUCUGACCACUCAGUGGGAACUCAUUGCUCCAAACCAUCCAUGUCCUGAUUACUCUGGGAGCACUGCCACAGCUUAAAGCUUUUUUCUCUACCAUUUUUUUCUCCUCUGUGGCUGAAUAGAAGUCAAAUGGAGAGUGGCUGUGAAAAUGGCCUGAUAACAGACCCAAGUUAGAGGGUUCAGUGGUUCAUUGGAGUAGAUUGAUCACCAAUUGAGGACAGCCGCAGUAACUGCAUCUCUACCUUCUCCUACUGUCUAAAAAUACAGUUAAUAUAUCACAGAUAUAGUCGCUGCUGUCUUGGGCUGGUGCUGUCUGAGUCAGCUAUAAUGAAAUCUUACCUUUAUCCCAUUCUCUAGUCAAUCUCUGCUGUCAGACGUAACACUCCAUCUCUUUUUGAAAGCAUUAAAUUACUAAUUAAAACCAAACUAAUAAGACAAAUUAGCACUUGAAAAAACACUGUGUUGAAAAUACCUAAAAAUUGUCUUUGGAAAAAAUAAAGUCUAUACCCUAUCUGCAAACUUUACUUACUUUAACCAGCUAACCAUACACAGCCAUGUCUUUUCUCACCCACUGGAGAGGAUCUAAGAGGACAAUCUGGUUAAUGAUCCCCUCGCUCAAACCCUCGUUUGUACAGUGGUAGGUGCCCCAAUUCUUAAGUGUGAAUCGCUGCUCAAAAAUAACCUCACCAACCUCCCACCUGCAAAAACCCUGCUUCUUGGGCUCUGUCUGCAACAGCUCUUUAUAGACUUGCAUCACCUGAGCCACCACAGUACAUGACUUCUCAUACCAGUGUAGCCACUCGUGUUCAGAGUCUUACUCUUAUAAGGAAAACAUCUGAAUGAUUGUUGAGCUUUUGUGGAGUUUGCAGCUGGGCCCAAAGUCUCUGAAUGUGUCACAAAAUACACACCAACAAGCGCUAACAGAGAGAAGACUGGGCUUAUGCUCCCUGAUAAAUUACGAUCACUGGUCUUUAGUCACUGAAACCCAGAGUAAUGUUGGGAAAAGCUUCAGGGCUGCGACAGGGACUUGGUCCACAGUGGACAAAAAUCGAAAAGGGACUUAACGUCAACACUUGAUAGGGAGGAAGCUUUGAAUUAUUGAUAUUGAGAAACGGUGGCUGUGCACGGCACUUGAGCACAUUUAGCUUCUUUUAGAAAGCUGUGAAUCAGAGACUGUUGCCUCACACACACAUCCACACGCUGAAAAACACCACUGUCCAGUCACUCCAUGUGGCAACAGUAUUGUUAACCAGACAUGCAGAUUCUCAGACCAUCGAUCAUUGAUGCAGCAGCUCAGUAAAUGAUCCAAUCCAUCACUGAUGUGGACUGGAACAUGUCUGGAACAUGCAUAUCCUGAUGAGUAUUUUCUUUUCUACACUCAUUUAAAAGCUGAAGUUGUUAAGCAUGGACUGUUCUCGUCGUCAGUCUGAAUCAGGAUGGUUAUGUCUGUAAAUAUUUAUUUCUUGCUGGGGAAGUAGUGAAGGAUAGUUUUUUUUUUUUUCAUUUUAUCCAAACAGACAAAAUGCAGUAUAGUCUUUUCAUUAAAGAAAAGAAAGAGCAGCGUUAUCAUGAUGACAGAGUGGGAUAUGUACAGAACAUGGGAGAUGACACUAAAGGGCUCAAACACAAGAUUUUCCUCCACUCUUUUCUUGUCUAUCCUUCACUGUUGCCGUUUGCCGUACUUGAUAGUGUUGUAAUGAUUACAGCCUAUGACGAACGGCAUCUGUAUGAUCAUGAGAAAUCAAUAUAUCACUAUAUUAUCAAAAGGGUUCUUGUCAGCUACGUUUACGACUUUGUAUGGCAUCUUUAUGCGCAAUGUUUUUCACCACUACGGAGCUGUCUACUUAUGCACACAGAGACAGAGGAGAUGCAGUGUUUGUUGUCCAGUGACGCUCUAACAUCUGUUUAAAAAGGGUUUUUGCUCCUAUGAUGUGCUUUAUAUGUAUAAUUUUGACCACAUACCUAUAUUAAAUAUACCUGCUGUUAGCAUCACGGGAUGGAUAUCAAUUACAGUGGAUGUGAAACACAUUCUGGUUGUUGACCUCUGCUAUUAGCCGGAGUCAGAAGAAUCAAUAAGCUAUUUGCGAUAUGACUACUAUUCAUUAGCGAGCAUAUCCUUUUAUAGAAUAACUCAUUGAUUAACUCAUUUUGGUGUUAAUCAUGCAUUACAUGCAAAGUUAUAUGAAAUCCAAUUUUCUAUUUUUGAUGUCCAGACCAGUUUGUGGUAUUUAUGCAUAUGUGUAUAUGGCCCCAACACUGCAUUUAUGCGUGACUAGUAAAGCAUAUUUUCUAAGAUAUAGAGUCCAUCUCCCACUAUUGUUUGCACAGUAGCUUAAAUAUGCACCGUGAUGCCCCAUCGUCCUUUUACUGUUUACUGAAUUUAUAAUUUGUGAGAACUAUGUUAUGAAAAAGCUGUAUUUUGGUACUAUUCAAAUAUUGUUAGAAAAAGAGGUAUAGCAGAUGUUUUGUCCAAGACAUAUAUUACCAUAGUGUUGCUAUGAAUUAGUCAGUUUUUCUUAUUUUUGGGGAGGGAUGACAGGGAUAUUUUUGUUCUUCUUUUGUUGUUGAUUUGCAAUCUGACAGUAAUAUCACCAUUGUUCUAUAUACGACUUUCUU